AUGUCGUGUCAGACAGACAUAAUAUGACAGCUAAAUCGUGACAUGUGGAAGCUAUUUCGUGACAUAUGACAGCUGAUUGAGACGACAAUUGACACGAUAGACCACCCUGUAGGCAUACUACGAAACCGUUUU